rnacentral:rRNA from 1 species
UGGGGAAUAUUGGACAAUGGGCGGAAGCCUGAUCCAGCAACGCCGCGUGAGGGAUGACGGCCUUCGGGUUGUAAACCUCUUUCACCAUUGGCGAAGCCGCUCCUUUGGGGUGGUGACGGUAGGUGGGGAAGAAGCACCGGCCAACUACGUGCCAGCAGCCGCGGUAAUACGUAGGGUGCGAGCGUUGUCCGGAAUUAUUGGGCGUAAAGGGCUCGUAGGCGGUUUGUCGCGUCGGGAGUGAAAUCCACUGGCUUAACUGGUGGCUUGCUUUCGAUACGGGCAGACUGGAGGUAUGCAGGGGAGAACGGAAUUCCUGGUGUAGCGGUGAAAUGCGCAGAUAUCAGGAGGAACACCGGUGGCGAAGGCGGUUCUCUGGGCAUGUCCUGACGCUGAGGAGCGAAAGUGUGGGGAGCGAACAGGAUUAGAUACCCUGGUAGUCCACACCGUAAACGUUGGGCGCUAGGUGUGGGAUCCAUUCCACGGGUUCCGUGCCGCAGCUAACGCAUUAAGCGCCCCGCCUGGGGAGUACGGCC